UUUUGAAUUUGUUCUCGGUUAUGCAGUAAGUCGAUUUUUCGAUAUUUUUGGACAACUACACAUAGUUUUUUACACUUACUUAGGGAAAACCACCAUCUAACUAUUACAAACCAGACACCCUACCGUUGGAGAGUAACGAACAGUACGAUAGCGACUAGACAAAAUUUCCCCUGAAGAAGACCGACAAAACCGGUCGAAACGUCGGGCAGUUUUAAUAUAAACAUCGCUUGAUUAUUUUUAACCGACUGAGAAAGCCGACCAAUCAGAACA